CAAACACAAAUAGAGGUAAAAAUCAACACCAGACAGCGUGACCCAGACAGACGCUUGAAGGCCUGACUGACGGGAGACAAAAAUAUCAAACGAGAAAAUUUGACGGGAGGUGCAGCUGGCAGGGCGGCGGCGGCGGAGGCGAAGGCGGGGGAGGCGUGAAGCAGAAAGGUUGAGACUCGAGAGAAAGGACUGGAGGCGAGGAACAAGGGAGGAGGUAGUGAGCGGCGGUACUGUAGGAGCGAGGAACACAGUGAUGAUGGGUCGGGAGAAAGGGAAGUAAGGUGAGACGAAGUAAAGUAGGAGGCGACGAGUAGAAUGAAGUAGUUGCAGUGACAUGAGAAAGAGCGGGAGGCGAGGCAAGGCAGGAGGAGAACAUAAGAACAUAAGAACGUAAGGAGUCUGCAAGAGGCCGGCUGGCCUAUACAAGGCAGCUCCUGUAUACUCAACCCCACCUUACCUCACCAUCCAUGGCUUUAUCUAAUCUCUUCUUGAAUGUAUCUAUGGGUAUCUUAAAUUGCUGACCUUCUUCAUCAACACCAAGCACCACACAAGGAGUUUUCGUAGUAUUUGGUGUCUGGUUUGGGGGCUUACAAACUUGCUGUACUGUCUGUGUGCUCUGAAUGUCUAUGUAUAUCCAUGUAAAUUUAACUCUAUUUAUCUAUCUGGUAAUAGUAUUAAUAUCUAGUAGUAGUAGUAGUAGUAGUAGUAGUAGUAGUAGUAGUAGUAGCAUAACAACAAUAAUAAUGAUAAUGAUAUAAUUUUAGUAAGAGUAACAGCAUUAAGUAUACUUAACAAAUAAGAAAGAUGCAGGAAUCAAUAAUUAUAAGCCCCUCCGAGGCAUACCCAUUGACUAAUUUCGUAGCAAAUUUUGAGAUUAUUGAGUAAAUGGUGAGUGUGUAGCGUGUAUGUAGUUUGGUGUGAAAAGUAAGAAAGUGAGAAAGCCAUUCGUGAGUUUUUGAACUCUUCUUUUUGUUGUUGAGAAACAUUAGAGAAACGUCGAGAUAUUGUCCGGAGGCAUUGUUCUGAGAGUGGUCAGGAAAUGUCAGGGGGCAUUAUCGCGUGGGUCGUCAUCGGGUUGUCCAUCGUGUCCAAAGAGUGCCAGGGGUCUGUCAGGGGUCAGUAGGUCGUAUAAUCGAGUUAUCAGUCCGUGUCCAAAGGGUGCCAGGGGUCUGUCAGGGGUCAGUUGGUCGUGUAAUCGAGUUAUCAGUCCAUGUCCAAAGAGUGCCAGGGGUCUGUCAGGGGUCAGUAGGUCGUAUAAUCGAGUUAUCAGUCCAUGUCCAAAGAGUGCCAGGGGUCUGUCAGGGGUCAGUAGGUCGUGGGUCGUCAGGAGUUGUCAGUCCGUGUGUUUUUUUAGUCUGGCUGAGCCGCUGUCUCCCCAGAAGAGUCUCAGCCAUAACUUUGGUGUUGUCUGUUGGUCUGGAUAAGCCGCAUUCUCCCCAGAGGAGACUCACUCUUACCAACACACAGCACCGUUUUUUUGUUGUUUUAUGAUUUUUUUGUUGUUUUUAUGUUUUUAUAGUUAGUGACGCUCUGCCCUGCUGGGGGGAUUUCUUCUUCCCCGCGCGGCAGUUCCUCUUGGAGGCGUCAGUCAUUAUGAUUAUGGUGAUUUGUACCGGUGACCUAAACUGAUAUAAGGGUCACAGCUCGUCUGGCUACUUCUUAGGAAGGUCAGCACGUCUUGCGGGAACUUCAACGCCCCCCCCGCCGGACCUUCGGGAUCCCCGGCACCGCCAUGGACGCCCCGGGGGAGCCAGGGCGCCCUACCGGGGCCCCUCCAGCCCUGCGAUGCUCACCAGCAAGACCAAGGACUCGCUGGUGCUCCCCAGCCCCGACGAUUCGAGGAGGGCGGGUGCAAGAACGCGCUUCUCAAAAGUGCCAGACG